rnacentral:rRNA from 1 species
GAUGAACGCUGGCGGCGUGCUUAACACAUGCAAGUCGAACGGAAAGGCUCCUGCGUGCAGGGGUACUCGAGUGGCGAACGGGUGAGUAACACGUGGGAGAUGUGCCCUGGACUUCGGGAUAAGCAGGGGAAACUGGGUCAAAUACCGGAUAGGACCACAGUUGGAUUGGUGUGGGGGAAAGGUUGUCGGUGUGGGAUGGGCUCGCGGCCUAUCAGCUUGUUGGUGGGGUAAUGGCCUACCAAGGCGUGGACGGGUAGCCGGCCUGAGAGGGUGUACGGCCACAUUGGGAGUGAGAUACGCCCCCGUCUCCCACAGGAGGGAGAAGUGGGGAGUAUUGUGCACUGGGCGCACACCUGAUGCAGCGACGCCGCGUGGGGGAGGACGGCCUUCGCGUUGUAAACUCUUUUCGCAGGAGACGAGGCGCAAGUGACGGUACCUGGAGAAGAAGCGACGGCUAACUACGUG